GACGAACGCUGGCGGCGUGCUUAACACAUGCCAGUCGAACGGAAAGGCCCUGCUUUUGUGGGGUGCUCGAGUGGCGAACGGGUGAGUAACACGUGAGUAACCUGCCCUUGACUUUGGGAUAACUUCAGGAAACUGGGGCUAAUACCGGAUAGGAGAUCCUGCUGCAUGGUGGGGGUUGGAAAGUUUCGGCGGUUGGGGAUGGACUCGCGGCUUAUCAGCUUGCUGGUGGGGUAGUGGCUUACCAAGGCUUUGACGGGUAGCCGGCCUGAGAGGGUGACCGGCCACAUGGGGACUGAGAUACGGCCCAGACUGCUACGGGAGGCAGCAGGGGGGAAUAUUGCACAACGGGCGGAAGCCUGAGGCAGCAACGCCGCGUGCGGGAUGACGGCCUGCGGGUUGUAAACCGCUUUCGCCUGUGACGAAGCGUGAGUGACGGUAAUGGGUAAAGAAGCACCGGCUAACUACGUG
rnacentral:rRNA from 1 species